rnacentral:lncRNA from 1 species
GAAGUCAGGAAGCUUGUUCUUAGCUACCAAGGUCAAUUAGGAAUCGAACCACCUGCCACCAAAAGGCCUUCAAGCAUAAGUCUGAGGAUGUGCGUGUCCGCACGCCUAUUUUGGACUUUUGCACCUUUAUGGAAAGAGUCCUUCAGGGCAGGAGCUAUGUAAGAAAGUAUAUUUUUAAGGAGAUGAUAUGUAAUAUUAAAUAAAUGAUAGCAUCAUUACUUAAAUGCAAAUAGAGCAUUAAGGCUUUUGAAAUAACAUUUUCUAAUUCUUAGGUAAAGCAAACAGUAACAUUUGGCAACAUUUUAUUUAUCGUAAUGUGAUGGGAACCAUGAGAUACUUCACAGCCCCAUGAUUAGAUUUUUUCACAUGCGCACACACCAAAGUCCCUUAGGGGGUAAGAGAGAAUCUUCCCAUUUUCCAGAUAAGAAACCAAGACCCAGAACAGAUAAGUAAGUUGCUGUAAGAUCAGACACAGCAGCAAAGAGAGGACACAAAUGUGAAGCUGUCUGAUGCCAUGAACCACGGUGUGAAGCUGUCUGAUGCCAUGAACCACGGCUCUCACCGAUGCCUUCACACGAGAUAAAUACCAAGCAAGUAUCUUCGGAGGGAUUCUGGAGAACGCAGCUGCAGGAACCUCAAAGGCAAGCCCGGCUUGUGUCUUCUCAUAAUAGUGUUAGGUCCACAUCUGCCUGGCGCCAGUCAUAAUGUCACAGAAAUAUUCGGGGCAAGACAUAGAAUUUGUCUCCACCUAGAAAUUUAGGACAUCAUUUCACCAGCCCUCCAGCCCUCAGGCAGGAUCACACAGGCGUGUGUUGUAGAUGUGCCAUCCGCUUCUCUAAAGACCGACAGAAGCCCUUCCCUAACUUCUUUCAUUAACCAAUUUCUGUACUUAACAGCACUCAAUGCAGAGCAAUCUUUACAUCUAAAACUCUCUUCACGUCUUCCGUGUGCACAGAGAAAAGUGGACCUGCGUGUUUUUUCCGUAAUUCAUUUUCAAAGGUUAGAAAGCAGCCACAAAAUGCUCUUUCCUCACACAUAAUCCUGGUUCUUUCAGUCUUGUUGGUUAAGCCUUCCCAUUUGCAAACUUCAAUUAAUAUUUGUGGCUCUUUCCCCUGAGACUCCUCCAAGCUUUUGACAUCACUGCCAAAGCUGCACAAGCCAGAGCCAGACAGAAUGGUCCAAGCUCCACAGAUGGGUGUGGGGUUGGGCUUCGUGCUCAGGUAGAUCCUAUCAGGUUUCUUCACUUAACUAGAGCCUUUCUCUGCUGAGUCAUGAUGCCGCAGACCCUCUCAAAAUGUCACCCAGAGCUAUAGCAAAGUCCUUUUUCCCCCCAAUGUCCUCAUCAAAUUACAGUCUCAAAGCACCUGCUGUCAUAAACUGAAAGGGAUACUGAUGAUUAAGACUAGCAUCAAAUCCUGCAAUUUUAGUGCAAAUAAAUAUAGCAUUUCCAACUCGAAUUAGAGGGAUUGCAUAGCAAAUGUAUGUUUGAGGAAUGGGUGAAAUAAGCUCAUGUAACUUGAUGAGAAUAACUUAUUUGCACCCUCAUUUUGGACUAACUCCCCCAUGUAGUUCUAUCCUGCAGGGGUGGGUGGGCAGAAACCUGGAAGUGUCCCGUAGGAACCAGUGGGUAUUGUGUGGCGAUUCUGCCAUUUGAGGUUUUUAUGCUAAAUAUGUUUUGACCAGGGAAAGCCUUUCUCCAGAGCAGUCUUAAAACCCAAAGCUAUUUGUCUGAUCUUCCUGAAAUAACCAAGCAAUCUGCUUAGAAUUGGAGAGUCUAUAAGACCUAUAAAAUAACCUAGGAGUUCCCAUUGUGGCUCAGUGGAUUAAGAACCCAACUAGUAUCCAUGAGAACGUGGGUCUCCUCUCUGGCCUCACUCAUUGGGUUAAGGAUCCGGUGGUGCCACAAGCUGCAACGUAGGUUGCAGAUGUGAUUUGGAUCCUGCGUUACUAUGGCACAGGCCAGCAGCUGCACCUCUAACUUGAUUCUUAGUCUAGGAACUUCCACAUGCCACAGGUGUGGCCCUAAAAAGAAAAAAGAAAAGCCUAAACCUGCCCCUAAAACUGGAAUAAGGUGUCACCCUCUCCCCCAGGUCUUAGAUGGUCUUACCAGCCAAGUGCACAAGAAUGAGGAAUCUAGAGUCAAAUGCUCUAAGCUUAAAUUCCAGCUCCAUCGCUCAUGGAUGGUGUGACUUUGGAGAAGUGGUUGUAUCUCUGUGUCUCAGUGUUCUCAUCUUAAAUGGAGAGAAUCAUGCACCUUCUUCAUAGGGUGGUGUGAAGAUUAAGUAAAGCACUUAGAAGGGGGCGUGGCACACCGUGCAGCUCUCACUACCCACCAUCCUAAUAAAUGGCAAUCUAAGGUUAAGAAUCUCAAAGUACGAAAGGACGAGAAUCGCCAAAGGCAGGAAAUGAGGUACCUGUUGGUCACCAGGACAUCGUUACUCCCUCAUAUCUGAGAGAUGCAUUGAAAGUUCUUCCUUAGAUAAACUGUAUGGUAGGGGGGAAAGUGCGAAAACUGUGAAAUAGACCAAACACAUUGCCGGUUGUCUUCAAUAGAAAACUAGGUGUGGGAGUUCCCGUUGUGGCUCAGUGUUUAAUGAAUCGACUAGGAACCAUGAGGUUGUGGGAUCCAUCCCUGGCCUCGCUCAGCGGGUUAAGGAUCCGGCAUUGCCAUGAGCUGUGUUGUAGGUUGCAGACUCGACUCGGAUCCCUUGUUGCUGUGGCUGUGGCAAAGGUCGGUGGCUAUAGCUCUGAUUAGACCCCCUAGCCUGGGAACCUCCAUAUGCUGCAGAUGUGGCCCUAGAAAAGACAAAAAAAAAAUCCAAAAAACCCCCCAAAAACUAGGUGUUGUCUAAGCGUACCCUUUCACUUCUCUAAGUCGGUGGGAUCCCUGACACUUCACCGUUUUUGAAAUAGUCAUUGUUAAAAUAUUUCACAAACAUUUUGUGUCCAUAGACAGAUGCAAGUGAAUUGUGUCCCGUGAAUGUGCAAUUUAUUUCCCCUCCUCCCAUCCUCCUCAACAAGCCAGUUUCACAUCUAUUUAUAAAUUCAUUUAGCAUUAUUUUCUGCUUAUAUUUGUGGUUCUCAGCAUUCUCCUUUAGGAGUUCCCUUGUGGCGUAGCAGGUUAAGGAUCUGGUAUUGCAACAGCUUGGGUUAGUACUGUGGGCAUGAAUUCGAUCUCUGGCUGGGGAACCACAUGAGAAAAAAAGAAUUUUCCUUUGAACCAGUUGUAACAUCUUACUGGUUUCCUCAUUAAUUAAUUGAAUAAAAUCUUUGACAUGUAUUCAUAUCUAUAUGAGAGUCCUGACUAGACCCUAUUUUAAAAAUCAUCCAGUAACAACGUAUUCCUAAAUAAGCAUCCAUCCGGUCAUUCACUUACUCAUCGCAACCACCAAUUAAGCACCAAAAAUAAUUAUGUUGAAGUAUAUGCACGACACAGACACGAAUAAGCAUGGGCCUGCCCUCAAGAUGCGCACAACAAAUUAUGAGAUAAUCUAAGAUCACUGACAAGCACCAUGCAAAAGGAGAAUUGGGAAAGGGAGAUGGGAGACUCCAUGGAAUGAAGUUCCUGGUCAUGUCCAACAAGGGAAGGUGUUGUGGGUUACAUGCCAGGUUCUGUCUGACCCAAGCAGUGUAUGCAGUAGAGAGGCAGGAGGCGGGGCUGGAAAAGAGAGUCAGGAAGCAUCAUGCAGAACCUUGAACACCAUGCUGAAAAGGCAGAAGGGAGCCACCGAAGGUUCCUUAGCAGGAGGAGCAUGCUGUUCAAGCCCUAGAAUGGGUCCCUCCCCUCCAGACGGAGGCUAGUUUAGAGCAGCGGACGAGAUUCCAGGGAGAAGAGUUAGGAGUCACUGUGAUGGUCCAGGAACAACCAGUAGUAAUGGCCAGGACCAGAGAGACCACAUAGGGAACUGGAAGGGCACGGUUUAAUCACCACCCUCUCCACCCUGGUGUCCCACCCUGCAGCCAGAGACGCUGAAAUUUCUGCAAAGUCAUUUUCUCUCCCCACCGGUGGCUUUCCAGUGACAGCAAUGCCAUGCUCUUCUGCGAUGCCCUAUAUUUCCAUGCCGACCCUUCAGCUACUGCUGUCUGGCCUCCUUCUCCAAAGGGCAGGACCUUCACGCUCCCUGAGCCCCCCAGGGGGGUCGGACACCCACUGCUUCUCAGUGAGUGCUAUUAAAUGGCAUUCAACUCUCUGGUCCAGCACAUCAGUAAAGUGUUUCUAUUUGACCUACAGAGACGGCACAUUCUAGGUCAGCAGAAUGCUCUUCUGUGCCGUUAGGACAUGACUAACUGCCUUAAUCAAGAAAAUAAGCUCCUCAUCAGUGGUAUUUUGCAGGUACAGGUGCAGAGACUUGGGCAGCGGUGGCAGCAGAGUGCACUCGGGCACCAUGGCAACCAGGGCGACAGCCCGGUUACGCUCCGCAGUGUGGAAACAGUCAGCUCUUCAUUCGUUUCAGCUGACAACAAAAAACGAGAGGCGUUUUGUCCUGCCUUGUCUUCUCAGAUGUUUGGCAGGUCCCAGGUUCGCGAGGAUACUGGUCUUUAUGUCCAGGGGAACUUAGGACCGGGGCUGCAGCCCAGAUCCACCCAAAAUGCUUCGGGUCCCUCUGCAGAGGUUGCCUUCUACCUGUGCUCUCCGCAGGGGCUGGCUGGGCGUGUGUGCAGGCUGCGUGGUUUUUGUUUUUGUUUUUUCUUUUCCAUGUGCUGCUUUAACCUGAUUUAAAAUCACUUGCCAGACACCUUGCCCCAGCUGUGCAGUCUCACCAUUUUUAUGGGCUUAUGAAAUAAGGUGCAUUCUGUGGCUAUUAUUGUAAUCUUUGUGUAAGAAAUAUCUAAUGUACCAAAUUGCAUCCUUUUCAGGGGUGUUCCGCAAAAGGUGGAAACUCAACUAAAACCAUCUGAAGCCAAACUGGGCAUGUAAAGGCUUUAUAUAAUAGGACAGUCCAAGGUAGAGUUGACUUUAGGGGUUCAAAUAAUAUGGUUCUAUUCUCUCUCUCCUUCCCUCCCCCCAGUAUUCAGCUUAAGUCCCUCCUAUUCCUUAUGGUCUGUACAAGUGCAGGGCCUGGCCAUAGGCAGCUCUAGACUGAGAGCCCCAGCGAUGCCAUAGCAACAGGAGAGCAUCUUUCUGCCAGUGUGCCCACAGAAAAAUCCCAGGGAAUAACUCUGAUUGGGCUGUCCUGGGUCACAUGUCCAUAUCCAGUGGGAACCAUGAGUGACCAAGUCAGGUGCCUACCGCUGUGACCAGAGGAGUGGGUAUGGUAAUUAUCAGACCCAGAAAGGCAAGGAAAAGAACGCUUACAAGAAGGGAGAUAAAAGAUGGUGACCACACCAAAACAACAGACCAAGCUAAAAAUAUAGGUU